GGGGAAAUGUUCCAUGUGAACAUCACUUGGAGAUGGCCAGUUAAUUGAUCCUAAGAAAUGGGGAAUCCUUGUAUCAAGGGUGAACUCUACAUGAACAUUGAAAGCAAAUUGGGUUAAUAUUCCCGAACCAAGACAUGGUGGUGGACGACAAUGUUAGGAAAUCUGGAGAUGUCAUCGGGGGCCUGGAAAGAAUUAUCUUUUCCUUUUAACAACUUUCCCACCCUGAAAUCGGUUCAACUAGAGAUAUUAUCCAACAUAUUAAAGAGAACAACACGUCUUGCGUUGUUUGGUUCCCCCUCGACGACCAUUGAAAAUAUGGAGAACUGAGUACAAUCCAUGUCUGAUCGUACUCAUAUCUGCCUCC
rnacentral:ncRNA from 1 species